CAUUUUUUACUUUAUCGUUUUUUUCGGUUUUUUUAUUCCUUUUUCGGUUUUUUUACUUUUUUUUUUCUUUUUCGUUUUUGCUUUUUUUUUUCCUUCAGUUUUUUUGCCUUUUUUUUCAACUUUUUUUGUGUUUUUCAGUUUUUGCUUUUUUUUUCUUUCUUUUUGUUUACUCUUUUAUUUUCUUCUAUUUUUCUAGUUUAAUUUUUUAUUUUCAACACUUUUAAUUUUUUUUCUAUUUUCUUUAUUUUUUUAAUAUUAUCUUUAUUCACAUCAAUGAUUAUUUUUUUAUUACAACUACAAUUACUUAACCAAAUAAUUCAAAUUAUAAGAUUUUGUGAGUAAAAAUAAUAAUUUUCGUAAAAAAAAUACUUUUAAUAAGUAUAAAAUAUAC
rnacentral:lncRNA from 1 species